rnacentral:lncRNA from 1 species
CAGAAUGUUCUAAUUUACUUCAGCAAAACAUCAAUUUGGUCCUUCAGAUUUCUUCAGCAUCAAAUCUACACUCGCCAGCAACUUUCAACAUGGUGAAUAUUCACUCCAAAGCACCCAGAUCACAAAGCACCGUGCACACAAAGCACCCAGAUCACAUUCACCAAGAACAGAACAUUCAUCCUCAGCACGCCUCCAUUAUCAUUAACAAGAAGAACAACAUACACCAAGAACAGAACAUUCAUCCCCAGCACGCCUCCAUUAUCAUCAACAAGAACAGAA